rnacentral:misc_RNA from 1 species
GUGGAACCGCAGAAGGAAGAGCAAAAGAGAAAGUCAGUUUUCAAGCGUAACCUUGAUUCACCGGGCAAGAUGUCUCCGAAAUGAGAACUUUUCUCCAUAUAUAUGUUAUGUAGCAUCAAAAAUGGAGUCGAGGUAACUUGUUACAGAUUUGGAAUGAUAAUUUGAAAGAUCAAUUUGUUCGGAAAGGAAACUUUUCGUAGUAACUCUAGGUUUUCUACCCCGUAAUAAGAUUUCCCUUCCUUGUGAAAGUAAGCUCAAUACGAAUUUCUCACUCAGAGAAUCGAGCAGGACUCCAGUAGUGUGGAACUCUCAAACGCUAUGUCGGCACUUGCCGCGUCCUCUCCACAACUUUAUCGUUGCGACAGGAAACUCUGAAAGUUAUUAGAGAUUGAGUUCCUCAGCGUGACUCCCACAGAAGUUCAGUACAGGAGGUCGGCUAGCUCCGUU